CAGUCGCCACGGUAACACGUAGGUGGCAAGCGUUGUCCGGAAUUAUUGGGCGUAAAGGGCUCGCAGGCGGUUUCUUAAGUCUGAUGUGAAAGCCCCCGGCUCAACCGAGGAGGGUCAUUGGAAACUGGGAAACUUGAGUGCAGAAGAGGAGAGUGGAAUUCCACGUGUAGCGGUGAAAUGCGUAGAGAUGUGGAGGAACACCAGUGGCGAAGGCGACUCUCUGGUCUGUAACUGACGCUGAGGAGCGAAAGCGUGGGGAGCGAACAGGAUUAGAUACCCCUGUAGUCCCUGUCUCUUAUAC
rnacentral:rRNA from 1 species